CACACGACUCUUGGCAACGGAUAUCUCGGCUCUCGCAUCGAUGAAGAACGUAGCGAAAUGCGAUACCUGGUGUGAAUUGCAGAAUCCCGUGAACCAUCGAGUCUUUGAACGCAAGUUGCGCCCGAGGCCAUCCGGCCGAGGGCACGCCUGCCUGGGCGUCACGC
rnacentral:rRNA from 1 species